UAGAACCUUGUGCUAAUAAGGUCAAGGUUGUCAGUCUUUUCCUGACAUGAGCCAGCUAGCUAGUUUUGCAUGACUGUUACAGUCAUUUUCCUAUGUGACGGAGAUAGAAGGGACCGAGACAUCUGGUGAGGUUAUGGACAGUGAUUGCUCUGAUUUUUUUCAGAAUGAGGAAGACUGCAUCCAGGAUACCAGGUGGCAUAGAUGGUAACCCAGAGGACAGCUUCCUGGCCCACAGAAUCGGACUGUUCUCUCUGGAAGCUCUCCUCUGCCUGCCCCUCUACCCUGCCCCCACCUCUGUCCUCUUUCUUGAUGUCCCCUGUGUCUUUUCAAAUAGGGGAGAGGGAAAGGACCCAGUGGAUCUGGCCAAUCAAGAAGGAUCAUUCCUCUAAUCAGGUCACACAAAAGCUGCCCAUCUAACCCAGCUGGCUUCUCAGCCUUUUGCCCGGAGAACAUUGUGUUUCAUAAGAGUGGAGCUGACUUCCCAAGGCAAUAGGAAGGGAGGCCAUCCAAUAAAGUGAAGACACAUCAGUUUUGUACUGACGUUUUCCCCAGGCAAGCAGCCUGGCCUGAUUGCUGGGGACCUGGUUAGGAGGCAAGGCAGUAGAAAAAGAAAUCUGUCUUACUGACUCAUGGCCGGCAGGGGGAGGCACCAUUGCGUGUCUCACCAUGAGAAUUGGGGGUUUUGAACUGAGAAGAAUGGGGUCCAAGUUCAGAGUGGUAUUGAGCAAGAGCUAGAAGGGACUUCACUUAGCUAGAGCAGUCAACAGAAGCUAUUUGUCCUGAAGCCGAGACCUAGAUGUAAAAAAAUGUCUAAGACAAAUCCAAUUUACAAGGAUUUUUUUUGUUUGUUUUGUUUUAUUUUGUUUUUUGUUUUUUUACGCCAGGGAAGGAAGCAAUGAGCCACUAAUGCGAGAUAACCUGGAAGUAGCAAGUUUAUCCAGUACAAUAUUUCAACCAACAAUAGCUGUGUGUAACAGAAUCAUGGAAUUAGAAAAGCAUUUUCAUUGGUGAAGUGAACCCUGGAUUUGGACUCUAUACAUAUGGACUGGUGUCUGAAUUCUGGUUUUGUCCUUCUCUACCUGUGUGACCAGAGGUCUUCCCUGGAUCUGUUUUCUUAUCUGAAAAAGAAGGGAUUAGACUAGUUUCUCUUCUAUUUUAAAUCUAUGAUUUUUUACAGAAACUUAAUCAAUAAAGUGGGGACAGCUUGUUAUUUCAUUGUUAUAGAUUCUUCCCCAGGUGAGGAAAUUUCCUCUACCAAUGCAGGUCAGCACCUUUGAGCAACUUGGAGCCUUAAGGAAUUCGGGUGAACACUGACUUGCCCAGGAUUGCAUAAUGUAUGUCAGAAAGACAGGCUCUGAAUUCUGGUCCUUUCUAAAUGAAGCCAGUCCUCUCUACUUGUGGGCAGCUAGGUGGCUCAGUGAAUAGAUACAAUCAGGAAGACCUGAAUUCAAAUCCAUCUCAGACACUUACUAGCUGAGUGACCUGGGACAAGACUAUUUGUCUCACUUUUCUCCUCUGUAAAAUGAGCUAGAAAAAGAAAUGACAAACCACAUUUUUGCCAAGAAAACCCCAAUGGGGUUAUGAAGAGUCAGAUAUGACUGAAUAGAAGCCAGACUUCCUCUUCCUAACUCCUUAAAAAAAUGUGCAUUUUUACAAUUCUGUCUUCCAAGGCAAGUGCAUGUUUAUUCUGUAAAAAGCCUCAUUACAUAUAUAUUGUCGCUGCAGCAGACAAUAUGCCAUAUAAGUCAUAUGGAUAUCCCUCUACCUUGGGGAAAAAUACAGCAUAAUGGAUAGUGUACUAGACUUGGAACUUGGAAGGCUCAUUUCCACGUAAUCCAGAUACAAGUUGGAAGAUUCAUCUUGUACUUAAAUUUACCUACUUUUUACAGUGUUGAUCUAAGGACAAAAGAAGAUGUCUGUGAAAGAAAUUAUAUGAUGCCUGCCAAAUCACUGAGCCUCAGUUUCCUCAUUUGUAAAAUGAGGAUUUUACAUUGUAAUAUAAUUGUAAUGUAAUGUAAAUUGUAAAAUGGCAAGUUUGCAAAGCACUCUGCCAAAUUUAAAGUGCUUUAUAGCCUCUGUUGGAAGUGAGUCCUUGAAUAUUAGUCUCUUGCAAAAGUAGCCCCAGAGGAUGGACGCUGGCUGGAGUCAAUAUUGACGUGCUUCUCCUCUGUGGGAACUAUGUCCAGAUGCAUUAUUUCCUGGGCUCAUUAAGAGCUCACAGCCCAAGGUAUAGAGUCAGUUUCCUUCUUUCCAGGUUCCUUCUUGGAAUGUAUUACAUUGGAGAAAUCCCGGCAAUGGAUGGCGAUGAAAUUACAGAUCAGGAGGGAAAGUCAUAACAUGUGGUGUGUGAGGUCAGAUGGGAUGAAAGGGGAAACCUCUCAUUCUGAAUCCCCGACCUGGGAACCUCUGCCAGCUUUCUCCUCCAGUUUCCCAAUUGCCUUCCAGUUGAAUGCUGUCCAUUGGCCAACUGGGUGGCUUCUCUUUACACUGGAAAUUUCCGUGGAAUUUGCAAUACCACCUUAUGUUUCUAGAGGAGUUCAAAAUACUUGUGACCUUCAGUGAACUCUUAUAUCCUCCAUCUUCUGUUCUAUGCUAUAAAGGUACUCCGUUCGACUCUCCCUUCUUGAGUUUGAAUGGAGCAAAUUUUAUUUAUUUAUUUUUUUACACCUACAUCAUCCCCUUGGCCCUUGACUAAAAUAGUGCACAAGCAAGUUUCCUUAUCUGAUCAGUAACUCUCUUCUUGCAAACCUCUAUAGUGGUGUAUGGGGCAAGGUGGGUUAGUUGAAAGAGUCUCAGAAAUGGGGAGAGGGAAGGAAGAAGGAAUAAAUUUUGUAACUCAAAACUUGAAAUAAAAAUGUUAAAAAUUAAUUAACCCCCCUAAAUCCGUUAGCCAAGCUAACAAUAGCUUUGGAGACACAAGCAGUACUUUAGAGGGGACUAGGUCCUUCUCUCCUAGCACAGUACAGACAGUCCUCUGUGUCACUAACACCAGCAUUGCUCUCCACCACCACCACCCCCACCUUGAAUUUGCAGUAAUUCCUAGAGGUGACUCUGUUGGAAAUAUAAAACUAUAAGUGUUAGUUAUUUUGCUGGAAGAGCAAGUUUGGGAACUACAAUUCUCAGCCAUCUUUGUCUCUAUUAUCUUCCCCAUAGCUAGGGAUAUAAACAUACUCUGUCUGCUUGGCAGAUGGAUUUUUUUUCCCUUGCCUGGUUUUUGAAUGGCAGAGUCCUAAGAGGCAACAGGUGAAUAGCAGUGACCCGGACACCAUGAACCUCAGCUUACAUAACUACCCCCUCGGCCAAACCGUCAAGCAGUCUCCAGACGCUACACAAGAAAACAUGUCUUCUCAUCAUCUGAUACAUGUCCAGGCUGAGGACAUGACACAUAAUUUCGCUUCCCUGCCAAAUACCUGUCCAUGGUCAUGAAUGCUUUGCCUGCAAAACGAGUCCGCCUGUUGGUGGAAAGGAAUCUCCUGGGUCUUGGAACCUUCCAGUUGGCACUACACAAACACAAAGAGCAAUGUGUACGGAGAGGGAUGAGGGGGGGCUAAUGGGGAAUAAUGCAGCC